GGUCAGUCAAUCGGUACGGAGGCGGCCGUCAUGGCUGCUGCUUCCUAACCCUAAAAGUUUGGCCAACUUUCUCUCAUUGCACUCUGUGUCUGUCUUUCUGGUCAGCUUCCAGACACAGGAGAGGAAGCGAAUUCAAGAAACUGACCAUAGUGCCGGUUGGUAAACCUUCCAAGACGAAGCGAGCUGUUAGCAGACGAUUCGAGUGCGCUCGUCGCUCGUCCGAGUGUCAUGGUUUGCCCGUGGCUUGGUGAGCGGCGAAUGCCGGCUGUGGGCUGCCUGACGGCUUCGUUUUGUGUACAGAAAAAUACAGCUUUCGAACCCGUUGCCGUGUCAGAGUUGACUCUGGCCCCAGUUCGGAGCUGUGACACAU
rnacentral:telomerase_RNA from 1 species